GGCCGCGUGACGUCAUCCGGCCCCGCCCCGCCCUGCACGUCCGGCGUCUGCGGAUCCCUGGUACCGGGUUCUUCUCCGUUUUCUGCGGCGCUGCCCGCCCUGCCCUUUAGCCCGCGAUCGCGGGGAUCGGUUGAAUUUGGGACUCGGUGGGUGCGAAAGUGAGCGAGCGGGUACUGCACAAAAAUCCUCAUCAAAACUGAGUUAAAAACAGCAACUCUUUGCCCUCAUAUUUCUGUCAGCUGCUCACCUGGGAGUGACUCUGGUCUCGCCUGCAAGCACUCAUCUGUUCAAGUCAUCUGUCAUGGGACAGCUUACCUGAGGCCAAACGUCUAAGAAGAUAGCAAAACAAGACAGAAAAACAACUCCGAAUGGCAGUUUUUGAACAAUUCACUGGAAGUUGUGGAACAGAAGGUAGUGAAUUUGGAUUAAUCAGGCUGGCUGGCCCUGAACCAGGGAAAGCCCUGCGAGGGAGGCGGAUUUCCGGCCGCAUCCAGAAGUCCCUGGCCGCGGCCCUGACCCAAGGUGGGCGCUGGCAGGACGCUCACCGGAUUAGCUGCAGAGAGCUCAACUUCUGAUGAAGGGUUUGCUAAGACAGCGUGAGAAAAAAUUACAGUAAAAUGGAAAAAAUGUCUGUAGCAUUCCCAGCAUGAUUCUCGCAGAUUCACCUGGUGUUGAGUGGCCGGAGACGUUAAUGGCACCGUGACUGUCUGACAUUCCUGAAGGAUAUUUCUAGAAAUCUUUGAAAUUACAAGGUUCAGGAAAACAGAACAAUGUUAUCUGAUUUCCUGGCUUUCUCUCCGUUCCACUGAGAGAUGGCCAACUCAUCACUGCCUUUUCUUUACUGUACUUCCCUCUUUUAAAUUAAAAAACAAUUUUCUAGAGAAGAAAGGGCAUUCACGCAGAUUCAUGAUUAACAUGGGCCAAGGUGUCUGAAGCGAGUCUGUCUGUCCCCAACCGUCAAUUCCCUAAGCUCUAACAUUCUGUUCCUAUUUCCUCCUAUACCCUUUCAGAGAUAACUUUGCCUUUGUGAAUUAAUAUAUGUAUAAAAUUUCCCUAAACCUUUUUACAAUACUCCUUUGCACCUUGCUCUUUCUUUAUAAUAAAACCCAGUGAGCUCGCUCAUUCUUUUUUAUGUCCUCAUAAUAUUCCCUUGCUGAACUUCUGUAAUUUAUUUUAUUAUUCCCCUGUUGAUGGACAUUAUUUCCAAUCUUUUGUGCUACAAACAAUGCUGCAACGCAUAAGCUGCCUGCACACCUGCAGGAAGAGAUCUGCAGGAUAAACUACUGCCUUUUCACCUUUUAUCAAAAUUUCAUUUUCACUGAAAGAACCUGUUUUCCAUUAGGUAAGAGUACUCACUAAAACACCUUAACAUCUUUUGUUUGUUUAAUAUAAAAGAAUCAUUCCUAGCACUGACUGAAACCUCUUCCAACUUACCCAUUGCACACGCUCCUUUAUGACAAAAGUCGACUGCCUUGCUAGGAAGAAUCGCUUUCUUAGAGCUUUAUUUGUGUGACCGGAAGUAGCAAUUGGGCCACACAUCAAAUAAUAAUCCCAUUGCUGAUUCCUGUGACAAGCUGAGACCAGGGACAGGAAGAUGAGAUGCCCGCGGGUGCCCAGCAAACACACUCUUCCCUCACCAUCUCCCCGAUUGACUAGACAUCCCAGCAAAGUCACCUGGUCUGUGGCCUCUCAGGAAGCUUGUGUUUGUCCACAGUUUUGCAAACCUUUCCUGUCAGAGUUCCUAAAAUUAUAAUCCCCAGGCUAUUUCAGCUGACUCCCAUUAGCAAGGAUGAGGAAAGCUAAAUGCAUUCUUUUCUAGUUACCAGUCCUGGAAGCCAGGGCAGGCUGAGCAAGUUCCACACAGCACAGCGGUCCGUUGUGGAUUACACUGACCCCAUCUGGGCUGCGGAAGCUCUGUCAUCCUCCCCAGCAACAAAGCGGCAGAACCCAGAAGGAUAAAAUCACAAUAAAAGUAUGGACUCACGCUUAUUGGCAUUGGCUGGGUGCCAAGCACUCUGCUAAGCGCUUUAGAAAUAGUCUUUUUAAGAACACAUGUCUCCAGUGCACACUGGUCAUACUCCUAGUGGAGGGUAGGCACAUCUGCAGUUCACAUUCAUUCUUUGUUCAUCCCCUUCACCUCCCCAGUCCCUCCACCUCUUCAUCCCUUUCCCAUUUGCAAAAAAUCUG